UACGUAGGGUGCGAGCGUUGUCCGGAAUUAUUGGGCGUAAAGGGCUCGUAGGCGGUUUGUCGCGUCGGGAGUGAAAUCCACUGGCUUAACUGGUGGCUUGCUUUCGAUACGGGCAGACUGGAGGUAUGCAGGGGGAGAACGGAAUUCCUGGUGUAGCGGUGAAAUGCGCAGAUAUCAGGAGGAACACCAGCGGCGAAGGCGGCGCUCUGGGCUGGCACUGACACUGAGGAGCGAAAGCGUGGGGAGCGAACAGG
rnacentral:rRNA from 1 species